AUUGAACGCUGGCGGCAUGCCUUACACAUGCAAGUCGAACGGUAACAGGUCUUCGGAUGCUGACGAGUGGCGAACGGGUGAGUAAUACAUCGGAACGUGCCCGAUCGUGGGGGAUAACGAAGCGAAAGCUUUGCUAAUACUGCAUACGAUCUACGGAUGAAAGCAGGGGACCGCAAGGCCUUGCGCGAACGGAGCGGCCGAUGGCAGAUUAGGUAGUUGGUGGGAUAAAAGCUUACCAAGCCGACGAUCUGUAGCUGGUCUGAGAGGACGACCAGCCACACUGGGACUGAGACACGGCCCAGACUCCUACGGGAGGCAGCAGUGGGGAAUUUUGGACAAUGGGCGAAAGCCUGAUCCAGCCAUGCCGCGUGCAGGAUGAAGGCCUUCGGGCUGUAAACUGCUUUUGUACGGAACGAAAAGACUCUGGUUAAUACCUGGGGUCCAUGACGGUACCGUAAGAAUAAGCACCGGCUAACUACGUGCCAGCAGCCGCGGUAAUACGUAGGGUGCAAGCGUUAAUCGGAAUUACUGGGCGUAAAGCGUGCGCAGGCGGUUAUAUAAGACAGAUGUGAAAUCCCCGGGCUCAACCUGGGAACUGCAUUUGUGACUGUAUAGCUAGAGUACGGCAGAGGGGGAUGGAAUUCCGCGUGUAGCAGUGAAAUGCGUAGAUAUGCGGAGGAACACCGAUGGCGAAGGCAAUCCCCUGGGCCUGUACUGACGCUCAUGCACGAAAGCGUGGGGAGCAAACAGG
rnacentral:rRNA from 1 species